rnacentral:misc_RNA from 1 species
GAUGAAGAACGCAGCGAAAUGCGAUAAGUAAUGUGAAUUGCAGAAUUCAGUGAAUCAUCAAAUCUUUGAACGCACAUUGCGCCCGCCAGUAUUCUGGCGGGCAUGCCUGUUCGAGCGUCAUUUCAACCCUCAAGCCCCCGGGCUUGGUGUUGGGGAUCGGCGUGCCCUCGCGGCGCGCCGUCCCCUAAAUCUAGUGGCGGUCUCGCUGUAGCUUCCUCUGCGUAGUAGCAACACUCGCACUGGAUCGCAGCGCGGCCACGCCGUUAAACCCCCCACUUCUGAAAGUUUGACCUCGGAUCAGGUAGGAAUACCCGCUGAACUUAAGCAUAUCAAUAAGCGGAGGA